GCGGGUGUAGUUCAGUGGUAGAACGUUUGCUUCCCAAGCAAAAUGUCGUGGGUUCGAGUCCCAUCACCCGCUCUA
rnacentral:tRNA from 1 species